GAGUUUGAUCCUGGCUCAGAACGAACGCUGGCGGCGUGCCUAACACAUGCAAGUCGAACGUGAUCCAGAGCUUGCUCUGGUGAAAGUGGCGCACGGGUGAGUAACGCGUGGAUAACCUACCCUGGUAUCCGGGAUAACAUUCCGAAAGGGGUGCUAAUACCGGAUAAGCCCACGGGCUCUUUGGAGCUUGCGGGAAAAGGUGGCCUCUAUUUAUAAGCUACUGUAUCAGGAUGGGUCCGCGUACCAUUAGCUAGUUGGCGGUGUAACGGACCACCAAGGCGACGAUGGUUAGCUGGUCUGAGAGGAUGAUCAGCCACACUGGAACUGAGACACGGUCCAGACUCCUACAGGAGGCAGCAGUGGGGAAUUCUGCGCAAUGGGGGAAACCCUGACGCAGCAACGCCGCGUGAGUGAUGAAGGCCUUUGGGUCGUAAAGCUCUGUCAGAGGGGAAGAAAUGAUAUAGUGCUAAUACCACUUUAUCUUGACGGUACCCUCAAAGGAAGCACCGGCUAACUCCGUCCCAGCAGCCGCGGUAAUAC
rnacentral:rRNA from 1 species